rnacentral:rRNA from 1 species
UACGGGGGGGGCAAGCGUUGUUCGGAAUUACUGGGCGUAAAGGGUUUGUAGGUGGUCUGUUAAGUCAGACGUGAAAUCCCUCAGCUUAACUGGGGAACUGCGUCUGAGACUGAUGGACUUGAGGGCAGGAGAGGAACGCGGAAUUCCAGGUGUAGCGGUGAAAUGCGUAGAUAUCUGGAGGAACACCGGUGGCGAAGGCGGCAUCCUGGACCGAUACUGACGCUGAGUGAGCGAAAGCCAGGGGAGCAAACGGG